GUCCCUCUAUAUGGUUACCAAGCAAGUUAAAAAGACAAAAGAGCAGCCAAAUAAUAGGGAAAUGGCUUGAUAUUUUCCUAUUUGUAAAACAAGCAAUGGAAAUAGCUAAAGCUAUAAUUGUAAGACUCGGAGCGUGAGAUUAGGGGCAAGUUUAGUGAAAGUUAUAAAACGACACCAAGCCUGGGAGUCUAAACCCUAAAGAAAGAAAGAAAGAAAGAA
rnacentral:misc_RNA from 1 species